CCUACGGGAGGCAGCAGUAGGGAAUCUUUCACAAUGGGCGAAAGCCUGAUGGAGCAACGCCGCGUGCAGGAUGAAGGCCUUCGGGUUGUAAACUGCUUUUAUAAGCGAGAAAUAUGAUGGUAACUUAUGAAUAAGGAUCGGCUAACUACGUGCCAGCAGCCGCGGUCAUACGUAGGAUCCGAGCAUUAUCCGGAGUGACUGGGUGUAAAGAGUGCCGUAGGUGGCAUAAUAAGUAGCUAGUGAAAUCGGGUGGCUCAACCAUUCAGACUAUUAGCUAAACUGUUAAGCUCGAGACCGUUAGGGGUAACUGGAAUUUCUAGUGUAGGAGUGAAAUCCGUAGAUAUUAGAAGGAACACCAAUAGCGUAGGCAGGUUACUGGGACGGUUCUGACACUAAGGCACGAAAGCGUAGGGAGCAAACGGGAUUAGAUACCCUGGUAGUC
rnacentral:rRNA from 1 species